AGUGAACGCUGGCGGUAGGCCUAACACAUGCAAGUCGAACGGCAGCACAGUAAGAGCUUGCUCUUACGGGUGGCGAGUGGCGGACGGGUGAGGAAUACAUCGGAAUCUACUUUUUCGUGGGGGAUAACGUAGGGAAACUUACGCUAAUACCGCAUACGACCUACGGGUGAAAGCAGGGGAUCUUCGGACCUUGCGCGAUUGAAUGAGCCGAUGUCGGAUUAGCUAGUUGGCGGGGUAAAGGCCCACCAAGGCGACGAUCCGUAGCUGGUCUGAGAGGAUGAUCAGCCACACUGGAACUGAGACACGGUCCAGACUCCUACGGGAGGCAGCAGUGGGGAAUAUAGGACAAUGGGCGCAAGCCUGAUCCAGCCAUACCGCGUGGGUGAAGAAGGCCUUCGGGUUGUAAAGCCCUUUUGUUGGGAAAGAAAAGCAGCAGGUUAAUACCCCGCUGUUCUGACGGUACCCAAAGAAUAAGCACCGGCUAACUUCGUG
rnacentral:rRNA from 1 species